CCUGGUUGAUCCUGCCAGUAACAUAUGCUUGUCUCAAAGAUUAAGCCAUGCAGGUCUAAGUGCACACGGACUGUACAGUGAAACUGCGAAUGGCUCAUUAAAUCAGUUAUGGUUCCUUUGAUCGCUCCACACGUUACUUGGAUAACUGUGGCAAUUCCAGAGCUAAUACAUGCAAACGAGCGCUGACCCUCCCCUCUCCCUCUCGGGGGAGCCGGGGGCCUGGGGGAUGCGUGCAUUUAUCAGACCCAAAACCCAUCCGUGGGGCCUCGGGCCCCACGGCCGCUUUGGUGACUCUUGAUAACCUCGGGCCGAUCGCGCGCCCUCCCCGGCGGCGACGACUCAUUCGAAUGUCUGCCCUAUCAACUUUCGAUGGUACUAUAGUCGCCUACCAUGGUGACCACGGGUAACGGGGAAUCAGGGUUCGAUUCCGGAGAGGGAGCCUGAGAAACGGCUACCACAUCCAAGGAAGGCAGCAGGCGCGCAAAUUACCCAUUCCCGACACGGGGAGGUAGUGACGAAAAAUAACGAUACAGGUCUCUUUCGAGGCCCUGUAAUCGGAAUGAGCGUAUCCUAAACCCAUGGGUGAGGACCCAUUGGAGGGCAAGUCUGGUGCCAGCAGCCGCGGUAAUUCCAGCUCCAAUAGCGUAUAUUAAAGUUGCUGCAGUUAAAAAGCUCGUAGUUGGAUCUCGGGAGUGGGCUGGCGGUCCGCCGCGAGGCGAGCCACCGCCUGUCCCAUACCCUGCCUCCCCGGCUCGCUGUACUAGUCAUUGGGUUGUCUAUGGGCUUCAAUUGUGGCUAUGCUGUAAAUCCAGCCAGAGACCUGGGACCUCGUCUUUUCACUGCCAUUGCAGGCUGGGGCAGCAUAGUCUUCACUCAUAAGAACUACUGGUUCCUAGUGCCCAUCUUUGCCCCAUUCCUGGGUACCAUCAUUGGAGUGAUUUUGUACCAACUGAUGGUGGGCUGGCAUACAGAAGGGGAUGCACGGGACAAGCAAAAGACAGCAGAAGAAUCGAAUGUCAAGCUGAAUGAUAUGGAUUCUUCAGUUCCCUAAGCUAGAUUGUGCAACAUAUCAACUAGCCCUACCACUGUUUUGCUCAUGAUUCAAUAGGUUAUGAACAAUGAUACACUUUCAAGAGGUAUUCUGACCUAUUGUGUAGGGAAUUUGCAUAUAGAGAGUAAUGAAGAACAAAGCUGUAUUUCUUAAAAUUAAUUACAUUUCCCCAAAGUGCUACCAUUUCUGUAUGUCCUUUAUACCCUGUGCUCUACACUCUGCAUCUCUUCAAGAAUAAGUUCUCUUUCUUCAUGACGAAUUAUAUUAAUUCUAGAAAGGAAAUAAAUAAUGGAAACAAAUUUCAAAUCAUGGAAGAGCACAACAAACAUUG
rnacentral:rRNA from 1 species